AACGCGAAGAACCUUACCUGGGCUCGAAAUGUAGAGGACGGUAUCAGAGAUGAUACCUCUCGAAAGGGUCUCUAUAUAGGUGCUGCAUGGCUGUCGUCAGCUCGUGCCGUGAGGUGUUUGGUUAAGUCCAGCAACGAGCGCAACCCUUAUCGUUAGUUGCCAACGCGUCAAGGCGGGAACUCUAACGAGACUGCCUGGGUUAACCAGGAGGAAGGUGAGGAUGACGUCAAGUCCGCAUGGCCUUUAUGUCCAGGGCCACACACGUGCUACAAUGGUCGGUACAAUAGGCAGCGAAACCGCGAGGUGAAGCAAAUCCUACAAAGCCGAUCUCAGUUCAGAUUGUAGUCUGCAACUCGACUACAUGAAGUUGGAAUUGCUAGUAAUGGCGUGUCAGCUACAACGCCGUGAAUACGUUCCCGGGCCUUGUACACACCGCGAGC
rnacentral:rRNA from 1 species